GUAUGUAUUUACGUGUAAUAUAUUACUACGACAUAUUCCUAUAAAUCGAAAUUCUACGCGAUUUGAAUUUCUAAAUUCCUUCAUCGAGAAUGUUCAACGAUUAAUCAAAAUAUAUAUUAUACUUUGAAUUGAUUACUGAAAUGGGCCAUUUCAUGCGCAACAACCAAAUAAUACCAUUUACCCAAUUAUCCAGCCGAUAAUCAGAGUAAACAGCUUUCAAAGACCUUUCUCUGCAAAUCUCGAUGACAUUGUCGGCCAAGGUUAAAAGAAGAGGGUUAAAAGAAGAUGAUAUAAGAUAGUAGUUACGGCCACGAUUACUUGGAAGAUGAUAGGAUAGAAAGGUUGGAACUGGGAAAGGACGAACCGGUGUGCUGUGAGCGGCGAGCGAAACCCGGAAAAGGUGGAAGGGUAGUAGUUAUCUCGCGGGUUCGCGUGGGAGGUCACGUUGGAUAGAGGGUAGGUGAGGCGACCCACGACCUUCGACCAAUCACGAUUCUAGCUUGAAACUGGGCUGCCAAUGGGGAUGCCGGUCGGUGUGACCUCGUGCGCGAUUCUCCUUGCACUUUAUCACCGAGAAACCACCCCCAUCAAAUGGAAAGGUGGAAGCUCACCUUUCCACGCCGGCACAAGCGAGGCAACGUUCCUCCUUUCGCCAAAUCGGUCGAAACGAUCGAGAUGCAGCAGUACUUACAUACGCCAUUGAUUGUAAAAAUCAUAAUUAUUAAAAAAAAUAAAAGUACAGAGUUUAAGAUGUAUUAUGGAAGAAAGGAGAAAUUUUCAUUUUAACAAAUUAUCGUCGUAAUACGAUUUAUAACAAAUUUCCAUUUCGUAGCGAAAAUUUUAAAUGAAACUAAUAAAAUAGAUAUAUGUAAUGUACUUACAUAGUAAUAUCUAUGUAUAUAGAAAAUUCUUUCUUUUAAGUUUGAUAUUUUCGUCGAGUUCAUUUCCAGGUUGCUGAGGAGGAACAAAAGGGAAAAUGAUAUCAAAGCGACACUAGGGAGUAGUAAGGGUGUGUCUUUAUCUUCGUUAUUACCAGUAGUGGGUCCUUACCGAUUAUCCUGAAUUAAAGUGCCUGCAUUAAGAAAGAUACAGAUCCAAUUUGUAACAACUUUUGAAAACUCGAAAGAAAUUUAUUUUUAUAUAAAAAAGAAAAAAAAAGGGAACAAAAACACUUAAUUCUUCAAUUGGAGAAUUUCACAUCUUCUUUAAUUUUUAAUUUUUAAUUUUUUUUUCGUACUAAUUCCUUUUUUAUUUUCAGGUGCAUCUCGUUGAAACGCCAAUUACCACCUAUAAAAGGCCGAAUCGAGGCAAUGAAUUUGAAUAAUCGAUCUACCUCGAGCAAGGCGAUUAACUAUCGACAGAGAUCGUCACACUCGGCAUCCUUCUCUCCAGAAACCUCCUCCCAGAAGAUUCUCUCAAGGAGGAUACGUUCCGAUCCGACGUUUCAUUAGUUCCUUAAUGCAUCCUGCGGGUCGUUGCUGCUCUCAAGGAAAGGAUCAACACUUUUUUGCUUCGGAACGAUGCGUCAGGGAUGCACGGCUCUUAUGUGCCAGAGUGACUGAUGAACCAUCGACUAAUUACCUCCUCUAUGUGCCCUGUAAUACGAACGUAUUAAUAACCUGCAUUUAUAUAUAUCCGUGAAAAAUGACCGCUUAUCUCUCGGCUUCACGGGCACAAAAGGAUCGUUGGUCCAUUUGUGUUUAGAAAACGAGUUGAGAAUACGAUAGGAGAUGGAAUUAUAUCUAUACGAGUUUCGUUUGUUGGAACGAAAUUUUGUCAAUGCCCCGAUUCAUCCGUUAUCUGCUGCUGCGAUAUUCAAAUUUUAUUUUUGUUCCAUCAAGUUGCGUCACUGUUGAGUUUAUAGCUUUAAUUAUAUCUUGUUGUUCACAAACAAUUUGGAAAUUUUCGUUAAUGUCCGAUUGAUUAAUUUAUUAUUAUGAUAUAUUGAAUUUUAUUUUUAUGUUUUAUCAGGUUACGCGUGUAUUUAUAUCUCGUUAUCAGUGAGUUCUCACCAAUAUGAAUUUUUUUGUAAGAAAAUUUUAUUUGGAAAUAUUUUACUUGAGAUUAAUUAUAGAGAAUUACAUAGAAUUGCAAUGAUUAUAUAGAAUUAUAUAGAAGAAAAUUUUUGAAGAAAAAAGUUUGUGAAUAAUGGAUUAAGUAAUGAACUUUUGCUACUGGCCAACUGUAUUGGAGAAGGAUAAUGGCGGAAAAAUACGAAAUCGAACUUUUUAUAUCUUUUCCUGUAUAUUUAUUUAUUCGAUCUAGAAAAAGUAGUUGGUAGAUUCAAAAAAAAAAAAAAGACGUUCGAAAAGAUCAAAGCUUGACGGUACUCGAGCGCGUUCUACUUCGGCUUUGACUAAAUAAAAAGCGAGCUUUGCAUUUUUUACAGGCGACUGCGCUUAGAAAGCGACGAGAGACGAGGAAAGUUGAACGACCACCACCUUGGUCUUAACCGUAAUCCCGAAGAGUGACGAGCGUCAAAGCAACGCGGGGAUUCUUCAACUAUAUUACUAUCCUCUCCUCGCCUUCGUUUAUCAACUUUCUCCGUCUCGCCAUCUUCUCUCCAUCACUCCUCGCAAGAAACGAAAAAUGAAAGAAACGUGUCGAAUUUACGACUAAUAAUUUAAUCUUGAAAAAGUACGAGUAAGUAAGAUGAUCAAAAGUGAAAAAAAUUAAUCAAUCACUUUAAUAUAAAUAAUUUCUACUUGCGAAAAAAUACUAGCAAUUCUCGAGAGUUUUAUUCUCAAAAUCAUCUAUUGUUGCAAUAUUCCAUAAUAAGGCUUCGAGAAAUAUAUUCUAAAUAUAGUUAGAAUUUUUAGAAAAAUUUCGAGUAUUUCCAUUCCUAAAUUAUUACAUAUUUGCAAUCUAAUCAGGAUCAGGGUGAAGCGAGCCAAAAAAACAUCAUCCGCUAUCUAUUUCAGUGAUUCAGUCGAUUUUCCUCGAAGCACUUUGGAAAUAUUAAACGGUGGGAUGCAAUACCGUCGAGUAUGGAACGUAGGGUGUAAGAGAUACGCGACAAAGCUGCGGCAAGUUCAAAGCAUUCCUAACUCGGUACUCACCAGUUUUGCUCCUCUCUAGCGCGAGCAUUACUCUCCUCAUUGUCGAACCACCCAUCUCGAAUCUCGUUUCGUCGAGCUUUUACCGAUCGAGCGUUCAAUUUGACGAGGCUCGAAGCUACGCCACUACACGUUUCGAAAGUGAGAAGUGCGCGAAACGCGAUGUGUUAAUGCGAUGCUUGUGUGUGCGUAUGAGAGAGAGAGAGAGAGAGAGAGAGAGAGAAAAAUAUUAAAGGACUUGAGCAGAUGUGUGGGACGUCCUCCGCGCAGAUUCGACUCGUGAUAUUCCGGAUAUAUGUGUAUCGAGCGGCGCGAACGACCGACCGGAAGUAAUUAGAUCCGCAUACAAAACUCCCUCCGGAAGGGUCGAGUCCUGGGGAGGGCAACCACCGAUCAGGACUAAAUCGCUUGCGGUCGAUAAUUUCGAUCGUGCUUUUGAAUAUUUCGCGUGAGACUUGCUUUUCACAUUUAAUUGAAAUUGUGUGAAGUUAACGGGAAAAAGAUUGCUUACGAAAUUUGUUAACUAUUUAGAAUUUAGAAUUUCGGAUAUUUGGGAAAUUUUUUUAAUACUAAGAUUUUACUUGGUGAUCGUUGUUCGUUAAAUUAUUUACAAAAAUAACUAAGAUUAAAUCAGGUUAGUUUUAUUCUUAUAAACAAUUGAUUAAAUAGAUUAAAUAGAUUAAUUAAAUCGACUGAUAGUUAAAUGAAUU